rnacentral:rRNA from 1 species
UCUCUCGGCAACGGAUAUCUCGGUCCUCGCAUCGAUGAAGAACGUAGCGAAAUGCGAUACUUGGUGUGAAUUGCAGAAUCCCGUGAACCAUCGAGUUUUUGAACGCAAGUUGCGCCCUAAGCUUCCGGGCCGAGGGCAAGCCUGCGUGGGCGUCAUGUUACGUUGCUCAAUCACCCUUCUAAGGUCAUUUCUCUUUUGGCCUAGGAAUGUGGUGUUUGACGUGGAGAUUGGCCUUCCAUUCUUCUAUAGAAUGGUGGGUUGAAGUUCUAUUGCCGCCGGUAAUCGUGCAAGGGCAUGACGGUUGAAGUCUUGUAGGUUCGGACAUUUUUGUCCUCUACGACUUACUUGUCGUUCUCGUCGAUUCGGUGGCUUUCUCUCUGGCCAUUGUACGUUGUUGUUCCUACGCAUUGCGUAGCCACCCAUGUCCAAGGCCAAGCAUCGCGACCCCACGUCAGGCUAGAUCACCCGCUGAGUUUAAGCAUAUCAAUAAGCGGAGGAAAAGA